AUGGGAAGCUCUGCUUGCUACAAGCAGGAAGAAGAGACAAUUACAGAGAAAUCUACUACUAGUAUAAGAGAGAUAAAUAAGUCAAGUCACAGUUUGAGGAAUAAAGCUCAAUUAUCCAGACACAGGAACCUGGGUUAAUAGAAGUAGAGACCUAAAGGACGGAAUUUCAUAGUGUGGAAGGUUUAAAUUCACAGCGGGGGAGAAAAGUAGUAGCCCACAGGAGACCAUAUGUCUUACAGCUGAAGAAAGGGUGAAAUACAUAAUACAUGAUAUAUUUAGGGUAAGUAAUUAGCCUUUCUUAGAGGUCUGCCCA
rnacentral:lncRNA from 12 species